CCUACGGGUGGCAGCAGUGAGGAAUAUUGGUCAAUGGAUGCAAGUCUGAACCAGCCAUGCCGCGUGCAGGAAGACGGCUCUAUGAGUUGUAAACUGCUUUUGUACGAGGGUAAACGCAGAUACGCGUAUCUGUCUGAAAGUAUCGUACGAAUAAGGAUCGGCUAACUCCGUGCCAGCAGCCGCGGUAAUACGGAGGAUUCAAGCGUUAUCCGGAUUUAUUGGGUUUAACGGGUGCGUAGGCGGUCGGAUAAGUUAGAGGUGAAAUCCCGAGGCUCAACUUCGGAAUUGCCUCUGAUACUGUUAGGCUAGAGAGUAGUUGCGGUAGGCGGAAUGUAUGGUGUAGCGGUGAAAUGCUUAGAGAUCAUACAGAACACCGAUUGCGAAGGCAGCUUACCAAGCUACGUCUGACGUUGAGGCACGAAAGCGUGGGGAGCAAACAGGAUUAGAUACCCCAGUAGUC
rnacentral:rRNA from 1 species